GUUUGAUCCUGGCUCAGAUUGAACGCUGGCGGCAUGCUUUACACAUGCAAGUCGAACGGCAGCACGGGCUUCGGCCUGGUGGCGAGUGGCGAACGGGUGAGUAAUGCAUCGGAACGUGCCCAUGUCGUGGGGGAUAACGUAGCGAAAGCUACGCUAAUACCGCAUACGCCCUGAGGGGGAAAGCGGGGGAUUCUUCGGAACCUCGCGCGAUUGGAGCGGCCGAUGUCGGAUUAGCUAGUAGGUGAGGUAAAGGCUCACCUAGGCGACGAUCCGUAGCGGGUCUGAGAGGAUGAUCCGCCACACUGGGACUGAGACACGGCCCAGACUCCUACGGGAGGCAGCAGUGGGGAAUUUUGGACAAUGGGGGCAACCCUGAUCCAGCCAU
rnacentral:rRNA from 1 species